GCAAAUUUAUCGCACUUCCUUUACUGCACGAGGUUCUUGGAAGUACGGGUUUUUCCUUCAAACUUUGCCUAAUGCCUUGUUUACUUUACAAGAAAUACUUCCAAACGUGUCCAAGACACAAACGUUUGCUGGUGGAACAAACUGGAGGGAAAUUCGCUGAUUGAAGAGCCAGAAACAACAAGCGACAUCAAGAUAUUGUCUCAGAUCAUCUUCGAUAAAACAUGAAAGACAUGAGCAUACAUGUAAAGUCGCAGGGCUGGAGUACUGAAAGACCAAUGGUGGAUGUCAGAUAAAGCUAUUAAAUAGGCAAACAAGAAGCAAACAACAACAUAGGACAACUAAGAUCAGUGGAGGAGUCAGAUACAGCUAGAUCAGGAAAACAAGAAACACAGAAACACCAAAAGAUCCGUGGAGGAAGUGAAAUACAUCAGACAUGUCAG